UACGAAGGGGGCUAGCGUUGUUCGGAAUUACUGGGCGUAAAGCGCGCGCAGGCGGCUCUUCAAGUCAGGGGUGAAAGCCCAGGGCUCAACUCUGGACAGGCGGUGGAAACUACCAAGCUUGAGUACGGUAGGGGCAGAGGGAAUUUCCGGUGGAGCGGUGAAAUGCGUAGAGAUCCGGAAGAACACCGGUGGCGAAGGCGGUUUAGCUGGGCAGUUGCUGACACUGAGGCGCGACAGCGUGGGGAGCAAACAGG
rnacentral:rRNA from 1 species